AGAUAGAGUUUGAUCCUGGCUCAGGAUGAACGCUGGCGGCGUGCCUAAUACAUGCAAGUCGAGCGAACUGAUUAGAAGCUUGCUUCUAUGACGUUAGCGGCGGACGGGUGAGUAAACGUGGGCAACCUGCCUGUAAGACUGGGAUAACUCCGGGAAACCGGAGCCUAAUAUCGGAUAACAUUUUCUCUUGCAUAAGAGAAAAUUGAAAGAUGGUUUCGGCUAUCACUUACAGAUGGGCCCGCGGUGCAUUAGCUAGUUGGUGAGGUAACGGCUCACCAAGGCAACGAUGCAUAGCCGACCUGAGAGGGUGAUCGGCCACACUGGGACUGAGACACGGCCCAGAAUCCUACGGGAGGGAGCAGUAGGGAAUCUUCCGCAAUGGACGAAAGUCUGACGGAGCAACGGCGCGUGAGUCAUGAAGGCUUUCGGGUCGUAAAACUCUGUUGUUAGGGAAGAACAAGUACAAGAGUAACUGCUUGUACCUUGACGGUACCUAACCAGAAAGCCACGGAUAACUACGUGCCAGCAGCCGCGGUAAUACGUAGGUGGCAAGCGUUAUCCGGAAUUAUUGGGCGUAAAGGGCGCGCAGGGGUUUUCUUAAGUCUGAUGUGAAAGCCACGG
rnacentral:rRNA from 2 species